CAAUAGAGUAUAUUUAAGUUGUUGCAGUUAAAAAGCUCGUAGUUGGAUUUCGGUUAAGAGCGACCGGUCCGCCGUUUGGUGUGCACUGGUUGGUUUUAACUUCCUGUAGAGGACGUGCUCUGGGUUUAACGACCUGGACUCGGAGUCUACGUGGUUACUUUGAAAAAAUUAGAGUGUUCAAAGCGGGCUUACGCUUGAAUAUUUCAGCAUGGAAUAACACUAUAGGACUCCUGUCCUAUUUCGUUGGUCUCGGGACGGGAGUAAUGAUUAAGAGGAACAGUUGGGGGCAUUCGUAUUUCAUUGUCAGAGGUGAAAUUCUUGGAUUUAUGAAAGACGAACUUCUGCGAAAGCAUUUGCCAAGGAUGUUUUCAUUAA
rnacentral:rRNA from 1 species